GUUAGUAUAGCUCAGUGGUAGAGCGUUCGACUAGAGAUCGAAAGGUCCCCGGUUCGAAUCCGUGUGUUUUCUAAUU
rnacentral:tRNA from 1 species